UAUGUACGUAACAACACACUG
rnacentral:piRNA from 1 species